AGCAAUUCUCAUUACUUCAUCAAAAAGCACAAUUUCAAGAGCUGGACUACGAAGGAAAACGCGAAUUCAGAGAAUUUAGCAGAGAGGUAUAAUUACUAUUGUUAAGCUUAAAAUGCCCCCAAGAUUCAUAGUUCACAUACCCGAACCAUUCUGAAAUUUUGUCUAAAUAUAUUAAUAGCUAAACUGCAUCCGGAAAAAAAUGCCAAGAAGUGACAGCAGAAAAGCUGGACGAGAUCUCCUGAAAGAUGUUUGUAACCCCACAAGUCAAGACAGUUUGAAGAAUUCUCUGGAGCUGGAAUUAAAAGUAAGAUCUUUUAGCUCCUUUCAUUUGAGCAUUAGUCUAUCUUAAUUUAGACUAACGGGAUGAUGUUUGGAAAUCAACUAGGUUCUUAAGAAGCUAACCAGAAAACUUCAAAAAGACUGGGAAGAAGAACUGCAAAUAAAGCAAUAUGCAAAGAAUAUAUAUAAAGAUUUCAAACAAAAGGUGAAGCAUCUAGAGAAGAAAAAGGAACACCUUUCCGGACAAUGGGACAAAGAAAAAAAUAUCAUGCUCGAGACAAAGAAAACGCAUGAUACGAAGACGCAUGAUAGGAAGACGCAUGAUCGGAAGAUAGGUACAUAUCCUGAGGCUUAUUAUAUAAUGAUGGUGAAUGAUAACGUACCAUGAUGGUUUGUAACGUAUUGAUUUCGGGCUUGGAGUCUUUUAACUUUUUCCUAUUCCUUUCAGCAAAUUACUCCUGCAUAGUUUCACCACAACAUGUACGUAUCCAAGAAUUGUCUCAAAUCUGAAAAGAGAAAAAUAAGGAAACGAUGUUGUCACAGCUUGUAGCUUGGAUUAACAAAAUUGUUCAUCAAGAUUUGAACGAAAAAGGUGGCAAAAAACAAUUAAAUUACAUCAACUACCAGUAAAAUCUGAAGUGAAAUUAUACCGAAGCAACUACAACUGAAAUAUAAUGUCCAGGCACAAAGCUGAUAAAUUUGGAGAAGCACAUCAUCAGAGUUAGCAGAGUGACCCAAACCACCUAAUUAACCAUGUCAGAUAUAAAUUAGACUUGAGUCCUAGAGAGACGUGAAUUCAUUGAGGAACAAACGAGAGUGCACAGCACAGCACAACAAAAUAUUUUUUAUAAAUGCAUUGAUGGUCCUUCAACAUACAAAAAGACUUAAAGACUGUUCAGCUACUUGGUCAUCAAGUGUUUAUACUAAAGGAAAAGGCUUCAUGAUAUGAGAACUUAAUUUUCCGAAUUAGGACCCUUAAUACUGAAACUCGCUACAAAAAAGAACAACACAUCCAAGCCAAAACCCUUUUAGCUUCAAAUUAAAGUAUUGAGAAAAAAUUGGUGAAGUUAAAACAAGCCAAAAUGGAUAAUUUAAUUAAAUACAUACAAACCUAAUCAAUGAUCCAGUGACAAAACCUAAUAGAAUAAUCUAACAAAGGAGAAAAAGACAAUUAGUACAAGUGUCUUUUUUCCAAGAAUGUAAACUUCCACGAAACAAUAGAAGUAUAGAACAAUCACGAUCACUUGUUCUCGAAGCUUGCUUGACCCAAAACAUUUCAAGUCAUUUCAUAUUAUAAAACAAUAAUAUGAAGAACUUAAAACGAACGAACGUCAUAAAUAGCACAGAACAAGCUUUAGCCUCAAAGUCACUAACCUUUUGAAUGGCAUCAUCAUCAUCAUCUUCUUCAGUCAAAUUCAUAGAAAAAGCCCUUCUUGCCACCGGUUCCUUUGCUCUGUCCUACACCGAUCCUGAUCAGAAAUGGCUAAUCAGAAAGCAUCUGACUUCAUUCCUCC
rnacentral:lncRNA from 1 species